UGGGGAAUAUUGCACAAUGGGCGGAAGCCUGAUGCAGCGACGCCGCGUGAGGGAUGACGGCCUUCGGGUUGUAAACCUCUUUCAGCAGGGACGAAGCGCAAGUGACGGUACCUGCAGAAGAAGCGCCGGCCAACUACGUGCCAGCAGCCGCGGUAAGACGUAGGGCGCGAGCGUUGUCCGGAUUUAUUGGGCGUAAAGAGCUCGUAGGCGGCUUGUCGCGUCGACUGUGAAAACCCGAGGCUCAACUUCGGGCUUGCAGUCGAUACGGGCAGGCUAGAGUUCGGUAGGGGAGACUGGAAUUCCUGGUGUAGCGGUGAAAUGCGCAGAUAUCAGGAGGAACACCGAUGGCGAAGGCAGGUCUCUGGGCCGAUACUGACGCUGAGGAGCGAAAGCGUGGGGAGCGAACA
rnacentral:rRNA from 1 species